GGGGGGGGCAAGCGUUGUUCGGAAUUACUGGGCGUAAAGGGCUCGUAGGCGGCCAACUAAGUCAGACGUGAAAUCCCUCGGCUUAACCGGGGAACUGCGUCUGAUACUGGAUGGCUUGAGUUUGGGAGAGGGAUGCGGAAUUCCAGGUGUAGCGGUGAAAUGCGUAGAUAUCUGGAGGAACACCGGUGGCGAAGGCGGCAUCCUGGACCAACACUGACGCUGAUGAGCGAAAGCCAGGGGAGCAAACGGGAUUAGAUACCCCGGUAGUCCUGGCCCUAAACGAUGAAUGCUUGGUGUGGCGGGUAUCGAUCCCUGCCGUGCCGAAGCUUACGCAUUAAGCAUUCCGCCUGGGGAGUACGGUCGCAAGGCUG
rnacentral:rRNA from 1 species